rnacentral:snRNA from 1 species
GGAUGUGAGGGUGAUCUGGCUGUGACAUCUGUCACCACAUUGAUUGCCAGGGUUGAUUCGGCUCAUCUGGCCUGCUAGGCGGGUGUCCCCUGCUCCCUCACCGCUCCAUGUGCAUCCCUCCCAAAGCUGCACGCUCGGUCGAAGAGGACCAUGCCCGAUAGAGGAGGACCAUUCUUCGGUCAAGGGUAUACGAGUAGCUGCGCUCCCUUGCUAGAACCUCCAAACAAGCUCUCAAAGUCAAAAUAAAACAAUUUUGUUAUAAAUCUUCCAGUCUUUUAUGAAGGGAUGGCAAAAUACAUUCACUUUGUAUGAAAUUAGCU